rnacentral:misc_RNA from 1 species
ACCUAAUAAAUGAAAGAGCAUGUACGAAUGAGAAUUAGCAGGCGCGUAUGUGACACGCGGCUAUGAAAACGGGAAUUCCUUGUUUUGUUCAUACGGGUAGUAUUGCCAUGUGGCAGACCUCUGACCCAGAUUAACAACCACCUCUCAAAAACUCUCCGGUAUAAAAGGUCUGCAGCUUCUGCAAUCAUCGCCUGUUCAUACUUAAACACGAACUGAAGAGCAACUUGUGAAAUUUAUUUAAAAAAGAAAAAAAUUUGUUCAAGAUAUCCAUCAGAAGAUUUUCAGCUGAUUUCUACAAUGAUUUCAACGAGAAGACUCAUCAUUAUCUUCAUUGCAACUCUAGCUAUGUUUGCGGCCUUAAUAAAUGCAAAACCAGCAACGGUCCGCCCAGCAGGAGCCAUAACAGCGUAUCCUAUACCACAGCGACCACCAUACGCACCAAAUCCAUGGGUUUAUCCAAAACCCACGGUCGAACCAAUUCAUCAAUGAAAAUCAUUAAGUUGGAAGAUCUAGGUGGAAGAAGAAAUAUGUAGCAAGGAAAAAAUAUUUAAUUGCAAAUGAAACGUGUUAACGCACUGUAAACUAUAAGUCAUUCAUGAGUUAACCAUGGUCAGGUACAAUUACUAAGCAGACCACAUGUGUUGUAUAUGAAGAGCAAAUGAAAUAAAAGAAGAGAGAGAGAGAGAGACAGAUAGACAGACAGAAAGAGAGAGAGCAACUUCUCGGGUACGUGUAAUAAUAUCGGGUGUCCAAUUCGUCAGUCAUUGCUUUGUAAAAAGUAUUACAGACUAUUGAAAACAAUCAAGCGAUACACAAUUUUAUUUGGUUUGCGUUUGGUUAUAUAUAGAAGUAUAGAUUGUAUAAUGUAUACAGAAUGUUAUGUAACUGCAAAUAAUUUAUAAUCCAGUAAAAUCCAAACAACAAAAUGUAUAAUAAAAAUUGACUCACACUGUUCAAAAAAACAAUGUACAAAAUUAUAACAAAAAAUUAUUCAAUUUACAAGAAAACAAUUAUUAGUAUUUAACGCGUUAAUUUUUCUACAAUCCCAUUUUCCUAAUAUAAUUACAUAUUCAUGUCAUUCCAAAAAGUUACUUUCUACUCUUGCGCGAAACGCUAUCGAUAACUAAAACGCAUUAUCAAUUUCGAGAAAGUGUCUAACAGUUUCCAAACAAUGAAAAUACGAAUCUUGUCGUAAAAAUAAAGACUUACCUUUCGAUGAACUGCUCCUUUGUUCUUCAUUUCAAACGUACCGAAGGUGUUGUAAAAAGAUGCUGCUAAUGAUGGCUUCUACUCCUCGCUGAUUCUUUAGCCAUCUUGAAAAUGACAAACGUUUGAUAAUUAUACAGGGUGUUCAGAAAAAAACAUUCAAUAUUCAAAUAUAUGGUACAUAUGACACACUAUACUGAGCAAGAAAACUUUCGUAAAAUUUUCGAGAUGGUUCGCGACUUUAUAAAAUGUCAAGGGUAUAUAGGAAUGAAAAGAGGACAUGUGGGACACUUUCUAUAAAUAUAGUAGUAAGUAAUCAGUAGUAAGUCAAUUAUGCUGCUAAG